AGUUAAACAGUACGUGAAAUUGUUGAAAGGGAAACGAUUGAAGCCAGUCGUACCUAUGGGUAAUCAGCCUUUUGGGUGUGAUUUUGUGGAGCGUGAGGAGUUAAACGCCUUCAUGCCUGCAUAUUCGUGCACUUUGGGUGUACUUGCCCGUGUGUAAGUUAACAUCAAUUUUGGUGGUCAUAAAAUGGCUGGAGGAAUGUAGCUUCGAUCUUGUAUUGAAGUGUUAUAGCCUUCGGUAGAUGUGACGAUCGGGAUUGAGGAUUGCAACGGAUACCCUUCGGGGCUACCUGUCUGAUCUCUGAUUGUUGCUCUGGUACCGAAAGCUUGCUUACGGUUAUCAAAGUCGAUGGUCAAUAGGUUAGAACGGGUUAAAUUCGUUAAGGAUGUUGACGUAAUGGCUUUAAA
rnacentral:misc_RNA from 1 species